CUCGCCUACAUGAAGCUGGAGUUGCUAGUAAUCGCGAAUCAGCAUGUCGCGGUGAAUACGUUCCCGGGCCUUGUACACACCGCCCGUCACACCAUGAGAGUUGGCAAUACCCAACGUACGUGAUCUAACCCGCAAGGGAGGAAGCGUCCUAAGGUAGGGUCAGNGAUUGGGGUGAAGUCGUAACAAGGUACC
rnacentral:rRNA from 1 species